rnacentral:rRNA from 1 species
UACGUAGGGGGCUAGCGUUGUCCGGAAUGAUUGGGCGUAAAGUGUCUGUAGGUGGCUUUUUAAGUCCUCCGUCAAGUCCCAGGGCUCAACCCCGGACAGGCGGUGGAAACUGACAAGCUGGAGUACGGUAGGGGCAGAGGGAAUUUCCGGUGGAGCGGUUAAAUGCGUAGAGAUCGGAAAGAACACCAACGGCGAAAGCACUCUGCUGGACCGACACUGACACUGAGAGACGAAAGCUAGGGGAGCAAAUGGG